CCGAGUUUACAACUCCCAAACCCCUGUGAACAUACCUAUAUGUUGCCUCGGCGGAUCAGCCCCGGCGCCCUCGGGAACGGAUCAGGCCCGCCGCAGGAUCCACAAACUCUGUAUUUAUUAGUAUCUUCUGAGUAACAAAGCAAAUAAAUA
rnacentral:misc_RNA from 1 species